rnacentral:rRNA from 1 species
UACGGAAGGCAGCAGUGGGGAAUAUUGCACAAUGGGCGCAAGCCUGAUGCAGCCAUGCCGCGUGUAUGAAAAAGGCCUUCGGGUUGUAAAGUACUUUCAGUCGUGAGGAAGGUGUUAAGGUUAAUAACCUUAGCAAUUGACGUUAGCGACAGAAGAAGCACCGGCUAACUCCGUGCCAGCAGCCGCGGUAAUACGGAGGGUGCGAGCGUUAAUCGGAAUUACUGGGCGUAAAGGGCACGCAGGCGGUUAAUUAAGUUGGAUGUGAAAUCCCCGGGCUUAAACCUGGGAAUGGCAUUCAAGACUGGUUAGCUAGAGUCUUGUAGAGGGGGUAGAAUUCCAUGUGUAGCGGUGAAAUGCGUAGAGAUGUGGAGGAAUACCGGUGGCGAAAGGCGGGCCCCUGGACAAAGGACUGACGCUCAUGUGCGAAAAGCGUGGGGAGCAAAACAGGGAUUAGAUACC